UUCCCUCCUCGAAGAUCUCUUUUUAGGGUGUUUGUCUAGGGUUCUUCUAUCUUUUGCUGCUACUUUUUUCUCCUUAUCGAUUCUUCGGCCUUCCUCGAACUUUGCUGCUCGCACAGCAGGCCUUGCUAUACCUUCUUUGCAGUCUUCUUCUCCACCUUGGAUUCUUAGUCUCCCUCUCCUCCCUGUUGAUGAGCUCCAUGACUCAAUUUGAUAUCCCUCUACCUCCCUUUCUCCUCUCUUCUCCCUCUCCUCCUCUGAUAUGCCACAAGUGGGUUUUGAUUAAAAUUCAUGUUCUCCAACUUUGAUAUUUUAUAGUCAAAAGUUUCCAUCCAUUUUUGAAUUUAUUUUUUGUCAUCAAUUUUUAUGGGCCUUUUUCUCCUUUCAUUAAUGCAUCGAUUAUCGAUUGAAUUGAUCCAAAAAUGAUAUGAUGGAUUUGGCUCAACCAAUAAUUUUUAUUGGAAUAAAAGUCACUCAUUCCUAUUCUCAUUUUAAAGCCUAAUUUGC
rnacentral:lncRNA from 1 species